GGGUGAGUCGGGUCCUAAGGCGAGGCCGACAGGCGUAGUCGAAUGGAUGAACGGGUGGAUAUUCCCGUACCGACCAUGGACCGGCAAAACCGAGACGGUGAGUACUAACCUCCGCCUCGUGGUGGUUCCUUCCUUCGGGUUGGUAUCGCCGCGUGGUGUUGGGACUGUAGCCGCAGUAGGUCAGCGCAGGGGUGACACGGAAUGGGAGCCGGCCGCGGAGGUGGUUUUCCGUGGUCAAGCACGCAGCCAGUCAUGUAGGCAAAUCCGCAUGGCGCGCAUGGCGAGGUGUGAUGAUGGGAGCCGUUAUGGCUCGAUAUCCGGUUGUCCAGGCCGUCGAGAAAAGCCUCGGCGUGAGGGCCAUGGCCGCCCGUACCCCAAACCGACACUGGUGGUCAGGUAGAGAAUACCAAGGCGAUCGAGCGAAUCCUGGUCAAGGAACUCGGCAAAUCACUCCCGUGCCUUCGGUAUAAGGGAGACCCACUGGGGUGAACGGCCUCGCGCCGGGAGCUUUGGUGGGUGGCACAGACCAGGGGGUAGCGACUGUUUACCAAAAACACAGGUGCAUGCGAAGGCGAAAGCCGCUGUAUAUGCACUGACGCCUGCCCGGUGCCGGAAGGUUAAGAGGAUCCGUCAAUCCCUUCGGGGACGAAGCGGUGAAUUCAAGCCCCGGUAAACGGCGGUGGUAACUAUAACCAUCCUAAGGUAGCGAAAUUCCUUGUCGGGUAAGUUCCGACCUGCACGAAUGGCGUAACGACUUCCCCACUGUCUCGACCAGGAGCUCGGCGAAAUUGCAGUACGAGUAAAGAUGCUCGUUAAGCGCAGAAGGACGAAAAGACCCCGGGACCUUUACUAUACCUUGGUAUUGGCGUUAGGCGCGGAUUGUGUAGCAUAGGCGGGAGGCUUCGAAGCGGGUGCGCCAGCAUUCGCGGAGCCGCAAGGUGAAAUACCGCUCUGUUCUCGUUUGACGUCUAACCUCGACAAGUCAUCCUUGUCAGGGACAGUGCCUGGCGGGUAGUUCAACUGGGGCGGUUGCCUCCCAAAGAGUAACGGAGGCGCUCAAAGGUCCGCUCAGCCCGGUUGGCAAUCGGGUGUCGAGUGUAAUCGCACAAGCGGGCUUGACUGCGAGGACGACGGUCCGAGCAGGGACGAAAGUCGGAGAUAGUGAUCCGGUGCCGGCGCACGGGCGCGGCAUCGCUCAACGGAUAAAAGGUACCCCGGGGAUAACAGGCUGAUCAUUCCCAAGAGUCCAUAUCGACGGGAUGGUUUGGCACCUCGAUGUCGGCUCGUCGCAUCCUGGGGCUGGAGCAGGUCCCAAGGGUUCGGCUGUUCGCCGAUUAAAGCGGCACGCGAGCUGGGUUCAGAACGUCGUGAGACAGUUUGGUCUCUAUCCUCUGCGCUCGUUGGAAUCCUGAGGAGGCCUGCCCAUAGUACGAGAGGACCUGGGUGGACGAACCUCUGGUAUGCCGGUUGUCGCGCCAGCGGCACGGCCGGUUGGCUACGUUCGGGAGGGAUAACCGCUGAAAGCAUCUAAGCGGGAAGCCUGCUCCAAGAUUAGGAUUCCAUGGAUCUUCGAGAUCCUGUAGCCCGCAUGUUGAACACGUGUUUGAUAGGCCGGAGGUGGAAGCCCCGUGAGGGGUGGAGCCGACCGGUACUAACGGGCGACGGCGACACAAC
rnacentral:rRNA from 1 species